AAGAAAUGGGUUUUGAAAGCUUCAUAUUUUCAGCAACUUUGAGGCUUAGCAAGUAAGUGAUUUUAAUGUCUUUCUUGAAGAUUUUUACAUUUUUGUAACCCCUAAAGCAUGAGCUUUCAUAAGAGGGGACUAUUGUGCAAAAUGAUGAAGAGUCUAGGGUUUUUCCAUGAGAGUAAAUGUGUUGUUUGUUGUGUUUUUAUGGAAGAUUAUGAGUUCUAGUUGUCUAAUAAACAACUUUUGUGAAAGAAAUUGCAUGAAAACACCUUAAAAGGGGCUAGAUUGCUAAGUUGUAAAAUGAGUUGUAAAAUGUGUGAAAUAGUUGAAAUUAUGAGUUGCUAUAGUUAUAAAAAUGGUUCAUCUAGACUCAAAGAGUAAAGAAAUGUGAUAAAAAUUAUUUUACGAGCCUAGGGGUAAUUUGGCAAUUUUGGUAAAAUAUAGGGGCAAAAUUGUAAAAAUAGCCCAAGUGCGUCAAUGGACUAAUUUGAUCUGUACAUUGUUUUAAUAAGUUGAAUGUGAUGUUUUAGAUGAUGAAUAUCGAGAUUUGGACCUAGGACGGAAAGAAAUUGAUUAAGGGAUAAUUACGUCUUUUUUUUACCUUUGUGGUAUUGAGGUAAGUUCGUAUGUAAACAAUACCAUGUUAUACAUGUAUUUAAAUGUUAUCAUUACAUGAAUUGUACAAAUACUAAUGUGUAUGUGAUUAAUAGAAAUAUGAUAAGACAAAGCCUUAAUAGACGAGGAAAAAUCCCGUUUGAACAUUUGGAAUAGAAUAGGAUACGAGUGACAUGUCUCUAGGAAUUAUGAGUCUAGAUGACUAGCUCGAGAGUGAGCAUUGAAAUGUCAUGAGAUAUGAGGUAGCUUUACCUACAAUUGAGGCACUUAUGUGCAAAGGCUUUUCCGAGUAUCCAAUUAGUAUUCCAAGUGUUCAACGGGUAAUCCAAGGAAAGAGUUGAUGAUGGUCCCAAUGAGGUAAGUCAUUGGUGAGUAUGCACUUGAGUUAUGUUACGAGUUGUGCAAGUAUGUAUACUAAGCCUAUGAGAAUGCCUUGAUAUGUGAUGAUCUAUGAUGCAUAAUAUGUGUUCUUACCAUGAUGGAUGAAAUGAUGUUGUAUUAAUUUUGUGAACAAUGAUCAUGAAUGAGUAACUUAGCCUUGACAGAUUUGAGUUACGGCAGUAGUGUAACUUUGAAAAUACACUAAAAAUAGUGAAAAAUGAGUUAGAGGUAGAAUAAAGUAUGGGAUUAAAUCUUAAUGAGUCUAUUUUCACAUGAAAGAAAUAGGGGAAGAAAAAGAAUUCUAUAUUGUGUGAUAUUUGAAUUCUUGUAAAACAGGGUCUGAAUGAAUUUGAGAUCCCCUAUUCUGAUUUUAUAAAUUCACCAUAAAUUGUAAAAAAAUUAUUAAGAGUCAUACCUUACAUGCAUAGAUUCCUUAUUGAGUCUAUUUUUACGGGAAACAAACGGCAUGGUCAUUGGAAUUCUGUAUAGGGAGAAAUUUGGUUCGUAGUGUACAGGGGUCAGAGUAGUCAUACCCUGAAACAUGGAAUACUUUAACUAAUAAACUGUACUAAAUGGAUCGACCAAAAAUUUUGAAAAUUUUAUGGAAGAAAGAUAAACGAGUCUAAUUUCAGGGAAAAUUUAUGGAACUUAAUUCGGAGUUUCGUAGCUCCAGAUAUAAAUAAUUCAGUGACUGUUGUGUAGGAAGACAGCUUGUCGUAAACUUGAGAAUAUGUUGUAAACAUUGAUAAAACAAGUUAAUGAGUUGCUUAUUGUUUUCAUAUGAACUUACUAAGCGAAAGCUUACCCCCUUCUUUUCCAUGUUCUCUAGGGUUUCCAGGUUUGUUCGGGUUGGAGUUCGUCGGAGAUAUUAUUACACUGUCAAGCUAACGCUAUCGGUGUAGUGAUUUCAAGUACUUUGAGUCUAUGGCAUGUAUAGGAGUUUAAAUAUUAGAGUAUGUGAUAUGGAUUUGACCAUAUGUGUUGGCCUAUUUUGAUUAUGGGAUUAUAAAUUCAUUUUAAUUAUUUGAGAUUUCAUGACCCUAUUUAGUAUAGAAGUGUUAGUAAAAGUUAGGUAGCACCUCGAACACCGUCCCGGCGUCGGAUACGGGCAAGAGGUGUUACAAUGAAGACAGCAUCCUUGGGUGAAAGUCACUAUUUUUUGUUAUUUCAGAUGAUUGCAGCCGUAUGAGUUGGGUGUAUUUUCUUCACUCCAAAUCAGAAGCAUUCGAGACUUUUAAGAAGUUCAAGGCACUCAUUGAAGAGCAAAGUGGAAGAAGUAUCAAGGCUUUGAGUAUUGAUCGAGGAGGAGAAUUUUUGUCUAAUGAAUUUAACCAGUUUUGUGAGGAGCAGGGCAUACAUAGAGAGUUGACAACACCUUAUACACCGCAGCAAAACGGUGUGGCUAAACGUAAGAAUCGAACAAUUGUCGAAAUGGCAAGAAGUUUGUUGAGAUCUAAGGGGUUGCCAGAUAAGUUUUGGGCUGAGAGUGUUGUUGUUGUUGUUUAUUUAUUGAAUUUGUCUCCAACAAUGGUGGUUUUUAACUGAAUACCUUAUGAAGCGUGGAGUGCUAGGAAACCUUUAGUAAGCCAUUUGAGAAUAUUUGGUUGUAUUGCCUAUUCUUUGGUAGAUUCACACAAUCAAAGCAAGCUUGAUGAAAAGUCUGUAAAAUGUAUCUUUGUUGGUUAUUGCUCUCAAUUCAAAGCAUAUAGGUUUUACAACCCUUUGAGUGGCAAAGUGAUUAUUAGCAGGAAUGUUGUUUUUGAUGAAAGUGCAAGCUGGGAUUGGAAUAAAAAGCAGGUACAUCAGCAAAUUUCUAUGCCGAUUGAGGUUUCACAAUAUGAAAGACAAGAUUUAAAUUCAGCAAGUUCACCUCCUAACUCACUAAGAGCUACAAUUCCUGAAGAGACUUUAGCUGAGAAACUCCCACUUAGAAGAUCAACAAGAGUCAGAAAGCCGAAUCCGAAAUAUGUUGAUGACACUUAUGCAUCUUAUCAGUUUGCUCUUGCUGUUUCAGAUCCUAUAUAUUAUCAAGAAGCUGGCGAAAAAGAAGAGUGGCAAAUGGCAAUGGAGGAAGAGAUAAAAGCUAUUGAGAAGAAUAGAACAUGGGAAAUGGUAGACUUACCGAAAGACAAAAGUGCAAUUGGCUUGAAGUGGGUGUUCAAAACAAAGUUUGCUGCCGAUGAAAGCGUACAGAAACACAAAGCUUGUCUUGUGGCGAAAGGUUAUGCACAACAACAUGGUGUUAAUUUCAAAAAAACUCUCUCUGGUAGCUCGAUUUGAAACAGUGAGGCUUGUUCUAGCAUUGGCUGCACAAUUGCAAUGGCCUGUUUAUCAAUUUGAUGUCAAGUCAGCAUUCCUUAAUGGAUAUCUAUAAGAAGAGGUUUAUGUAGCAUAGCCGAAAGGUUUUAUAAAGAAGGGCAAUGAAAUGAAGGUGUACUAGCUGAAAAAUGCGUUAUACGGAUUGAAACAAGCCCCUCGAGCAUAGUAUAGCAAGAUUGAUGGGUAUUUCCAAAAAAAAAAGGUACGUGAGAAGUGAGAACGAGCCCACCUUGUAUGUGAAAAAGGAAGGUAAUGAUUUCAUAAUUGUUUGUCUUUAUAUUGAUGAUAUCAUUUAUACUAGUCCUUCUACCUUUCUUGUGGAUGAGUUUAAAUAUCAAAUGAUCAAUGAAUUUGAGAUGUCGGAUAUGGGUCUACUGCAUUAUUUCCUUAGUCUUGAAGUUUAUCAUGCUGAAGAUGGUAUUUUUAUCUCACAAAGAAAAUAUGCCAAGGACCUUCUUAGUAAGUUUGGCAUGUUUAAUUGCAAGUCUGCAACUACACCCAUGAAUAUCAAUGAGAAAUUGCAGCAAGAAGAUAAAUGAGAAAUGGCAGAUGCAAAAAGGUUCAGAAGCCUGGUAGGUGGUUUAAUCUACUUGACGCACACCAGGCCCAAUAUUGCAUUCCUUGUUAGUGUUAGUUCUCAGUUUAUACAACAACCUUCAACAGUUUAUUAUGGAGCUGAAAAAGAGUUUUGCGUUUUAUUGCAGGAACUUUAGAGUAUGGUGUUUGGUACUCCAAAACUUCAAAUUUCAGAUGGUGUGGGUUCAUAGACAGUGAUUGGGCAAGUUAGUUGGAUGAUAGACGAAGUAUUUCAGCAAAUGUUUUCACUCUACGUUCGGGAGUGAUCACUUGGAGUUCGAAAAAAAUAAGCUACAGCAGCACUGUCAACUUCAGAAGCUGAGUAUAUAGCAGCAACCUCAGCAGCUUGUCAAGCCAUUUGGCUAAGAAGAGUGUUAGCAGAUCUCUAACAUGAGCAAAAGGGAGCAAUGGAAAUAUUUUGUGACAACAAAGAAACUAUUACCAUGACAAAAAAUCCAACAUUCCAUAAUAGAACGAAACAUGUAGACAUUCGCUAUCAUUUUAUACGCGAUCUGGUUGCAAAUGGGGAGAUAACAUUGGAAUAUUACAGCACUCAAGAUCAGCUGGCAGAUGUGCUGACCAAGUCAUUGUCUAAAGAGAAGUUUUAUUAUUUUAGAACCUUACUUGGUGUGUGCAAGUUUGAAUCAAUGGGGAGUGUUGGAGAAUGAUUCAAAGUUAGUUGUUUUUUUUAAAUUUAGAUUUAAUUGGGUUGUGCAUCAAUUUAUUAUUUUCCUUAUUUUUCUAUUUUUUGUUGAGAUAUAAUUUAGUGCUAAAUUUUUCUAUUAAGAUUUGCUGCUGUGUAAAGCCUAUAUAAGAGGCUGAUCUUUAGUUGAAUAAUAUACAUCAGUUCUUCCCAAAUAUACUAUAACUUAUUUGUGUCCAUAGACUGUUUGAUAAGAUUACUCUUAGAAACCUUUUUUACCAUCUCUUAUUUUUUAAAGGUUGUUUUGAGUUUCUUUCUCUUUGUGCAGCUGUCAUCUCCAACAGAUUGUGAUUAGUAUGAGAUAUGGUCUCGAUGUGUGAUCGGCCUUGAGAAGUAUCC
rnacentral:lncRNA from 1 species